rnacentral:rRNA from 1 species
GAUGAACGCUAGCGGCAGGCCUAACACAUGCAAGUCGAGGGGUAACUAGAGUGAUAGCAAUAUUACUUUGGCUAGACCGGCGCACGGGUGCGUAACACGUAUGCAACCUACCUUAUACUGGGGAAUAACUUCGAGAAAUGGCCGCUAAUACCCCACACCAUUGCGAAGAGGCAUCUCUUUGCAAUUAAAGCUCCGGCGGUAUAAGAUGGGCAUGCGUCCAAUUAGCUAGUUGGUGAGGUAACGGCUCACCAAGGCUACGAUUGGUAGGGGUUCUGGGAGGAUGAUCCCCCACACUUGUACUGAGACACGGAACAGACUCCUACGGGAGGCAGCAUUGAGGAAUAUUGCGCAAUGGACGAAAGUCUGACGCAGCCAUGCCGCGUGCAGGAUGACGGCCCUAUGGGUUGUAAACUGCUUUUGUACGGGAAUAAACCCUUCUACGUGUAGGAGGCUGAAGGUACCGUAAGAAUAAGCACCGGCUAACUCCGUGCCAGCCGCCGCCGUAAUAC